rnacentral:rRNA from 1 species
UACGGAGGGGGCUAGCGUUGUUCGGAAUCACUGGGCGUAAAGGGUGCGUAGGCGGGUCUUUAAGUCAGGGGCGAAAUCCUGGAGCUCAACUCCAGAACUGCCUUUGAUACUGAAGAUCUUGAGUUCGGGAGAGGUGAGUGGAACUGCGAGUGUAGAGGUGAAAUUCGUAGAUAUUCGCAAGAACACCAGUGGCGAAGGCGGCUCACUGGCCCGAUACUGACGCUGAGGCACGAAAGCGUGGGGAGCAAACAGG